UACGUAGGUGGCAAGCGUUGUCCGGAAUUAUUGGGCGUAAAGCGCGCGCAGGCGGUUCUUUAAGUCUGAUGUGAAAGCCCACGGCUCAACCGUGGAGGGUCAUUGGAAACUGGAGAACUUGAGUACAGAAGAGGAAAGCGGAAUUCCACGUGUAGCGGUGAAAUGCGUAGAGAUGUGGAGGAACACCAGUGGCGAAGGCGGCUUUCUGGACUGCUACUGACACUGAGGAACGAAAGCCAGGGGAGCAAACGGG
rnacentral:rRNA from 1 species